rnacentral:rRNA from 1 species
UGGGGAAUUUUCCGCAAUGGGCGAAAGCCUGACGGAGCAACGCCGCGUGAGGGAUGAAGGCCUCUGGGCUGUAAACCUCUUUUCUCAAGGAAGAAGAUCUGACGGUACUUGAGGAAUAAGCCACGGCUAAUUCCGUGCCAGCAGCCGCGGUAAUACGGGAGUGGCAAGCGUUAUCCGGAAUCACUGGGCAUAAAGCGUCUGUAGGUCGCUUACCAAGUCUGCUGUUAAAGAUCAGGGCCUAACCCUGGGAAAGCAGUGGAAACUAGUAAGCUUGAGUGUGGUAGAGGUAGAGGGAAUUCCUGGUGUAGCGGUGAAAUGCGUAGAUAUUAGGAAGAACACCAAUGGCGAAAGCAAUCUACUGGGCCAUAACUGACACUGAGAGACGACAGCUAGGGGAGCA